CUCCCCCCCCCAGGCUCCAAAUCUCGGACCUCCCUGGCAACCCGACCCAGAAAGAGCUUGUAGCAAGCACAGUUUCGGGAAACUUAGUUCUGGCCACUACCCUCCUUGCUGCGGAAGGCUCUCUGUAUCUCGAUGUGGGCCCAGUGCGGGGCCACUGCUUGGGUGUCUGAUUGCUGGCGUAGCGGGAGAGAGAUGCCCAGGAGCCAGGAAUUGUGUGUCCGUUCAUCCACGUCUCCAGGUGCAGUCAGGUUGAAUGUUAUGGAACCUGAGCAUGCCCAGAUGAAUCAAGAGUGCAAUCACAGGUGGAGCCUAAGUGCUCAGACUGAAGAACAGGAACUGAAUUAAGAAGAAGACACCACAUGAUAUGCCCCAUCCAACAGAAACAGGCCCCACCACGCUUCCUGAUCAACUACACUGUCUGCAUUCCACCUGGUCCCGACCUAAAGGGUUUCACCUGCCUGCCAGCGCGUGAAUGAUUCAAACAAGCCAAUCACAUCCUCCUGGCAUUAUGGAGAACCACAGAACACCUCACCCUCUUGCUACACAGAGCAUGGCUCCCACAGCCCCUACAAGGCUCACUCUGCUCCUGAAUGUGAUUCACAUGUGGUGUUGGAUGGUGUGUGGCGUAUGCCCAUAGGCUGUGAGUAUAUGCAGGUAAUAAACAUCUGUCAAUCAUCUGGCCAGUGUUGCAUAUCCUAUGUCCAGCUAUCUUAUACUACUUAGGGCAGAGAAUCCCUCUGUCACCAACAGGGUGACUAGCAGGUGAUCAGAACACUGUGCUUGCUACAAACAGUAUUCAUUAGAGAAGCUAUAAACUUAUCUUCAAAGAAAUACUUCU